UACGAAGGGUGCAAGCGUUACUCGGAAUUACUGGGCGUAAAGCGUGCGUAGGUGGUUCGUUAAGUCUGUCGUGAAAGCCCCGGGCUCAACCUGGGAAUGGCGAUGGAUACUGGCGAGCUAGAGUGCGGUAGAGGAGAGUGGAAUUCCCGUGUAGCAGUGAAAUGCGUAGAGAUCGGGAGGAAACAUCAGUUGCGAAGGCGGCUCUCUGGACCAGCACUGACACUGAGGCACGAAAAGCGUGGGGGAGCAAAACAGG
rnacentral:rRNA from 1 species